UGCAGUCGAGGGGUAUUGUUCUUCGGAAUGAGAGACCGGCGCACGGGUGCGUAACGCGUAUGCAAUCUACCUUUCACAGAGGGAUAGCCCAGAGAAAUUUGGAUUAAUACCUCAUAGUAUGCAGAGUUGGCAUCAACACUGCAUUAAAGUCACAACGGUGAAAGAUGAGCAUGCGUCCCAUUAGCUAGUUGGUAAGGUAACGGCUUACCAAGGCUACGAUGGGUAGGGGUCCUGAGAGGGAGAUCCCCCACACUGGUACUGAGACACGGACCAGACUCCUACGGGAGGCAGCAGUGAGGAAUAUUGGACAAUGGGCGCAAGCCUGAUCCAGCCAUGCCGCGUGCAGGAUGACGGUCCUAUGGAUUGUAAACUGCUUUUGCACAGGAAGAAACAACUCUACGUGUAGAGUCUUGACGGUACUGUGAGAAUAAGGAUCGGCUAACUCCGUGCCAGCAGCCGCGGUAAUACGGAGGAUCCAAGCGUUAUCCGGAAUCAUUGGGUUUAAAGGGUCCGUAGGCGGUUUAGUAAGUCAGUGGUGAAAGCCCAUCGCUCAACGGUGGAACGGCCAUUGAUACUGCUAGACUUGAAUUAUUAGGAAGUAACUAGAAUAUGUAGUGUAGCGGUGAAAUGCUUAGAGAUUACAUGGAAUACCAAUUGCGAAGGCAGGUUACUACUAAUGGAUUGACGCUGAUGGACGAAAGCGUGGGUAGCGAACAG
rnacentral:rRNA from 1 species